rnacentral:rRNA from 1 species
GUCCCAGCCGCCGCGGUAAUACGGAGGGUCCGAGCGUUAAUCGGAAUUACUGGGCGUAAAGCGCGCGUAGGUGGUUCAGUCAGUCAGAUGUGAAAGCCCCGGGCUCAACCUGGGAACUGCACCUGAUACUGCUGAGCUAGAGUACGGUAGAGGGUAGUGGAAUUUCCGGUGUAGCGGUGAAAUGCGUAGAGAUCGGAAGGAACACCAGUGGCGAAGGCGACUACCUGGACCGAUACUGACACUGAGGUGCGAAAGCGUGGGUAGCAAACAGGAUUAGAUACCCUGGUAGUCCACGCCGUAAACGAUGUCAACUAGCCGUUGGGGGACUUGAUCCUUUAGUGGCGAAGCUAACGCGAUAAGUUGACCGCCUGGGGAGUACGGCCGCAAGGUUAAAACUCAAAUGAAUUGACGGGGGCCCGCACAAGCGGUGGAGCAUGUGGUUUAAUUCGAAGCAACGCAAAGAACCUUACCUACUCUUGACAUCCAGAGAACUCUCCAGAGAUGGAUUGGUGCCUUCGGGAACUUUGAGACAGGUGCUGCAUGGCUGUCGUCAGCCUCGUGUUGUGAAAUGUUGGGUUAAGUCCCGUAACGAGCGCAACCCUUAUCCUUAUUUGCCAGCGAGUAAUGUCGGGAACUCUAAGGAGACUGCCGGUGACAAACCGGAGGAAGGUGGGGAUGACGUCAAGUCAUCAUGGCCCUUACGAGUAGGGCUACACACGUGCUACAAUGGCCGGUACAGAGGGCUGCAAACUCGCGAGAGUAAGCUAAUCUCACAAAACCGGUCGUAGUCCGGAUCGCAGUCUGCAACUCGACUGCGUGAAGUCGGAAUCGCUAGUAAUCGUGAAUCAGAAUGUCACGGUGAAUACGUUCCCGGGCCUUGUACACACCGCCCGUCACACCAUGGGAGUGGGUUGCACCAGAAGUAGCUAGUCUAACCUUCGGGAGGACGGUUACCACGGUGUGAUUCAUGACUGGGGUGAAGUCGUAACAAGGUAACC